AUUCCGGAGAGGGAGCCUGAGAAACAGCUACCACUUCCACGGAAGGCAGCAGGCGCGCAAAUUGUCCAAUCCCAAUAGAUUGGGGAGACAGUGAAAAGAAAUAUCAAUGCAGGGCUUUAAGCUUUGCAAUUGGAAUGAGUUUAACCCAAAUGCCUUUACAAGUAUCAAUUGGAGGGCAAGUCUGGUGCCAGCAGCCGCGGUAAUUCCAGCUCCAAUAGUCUAUAUUAAAGUUGUUGCAGUUAAAACGCUCGUAGUUGAAACUCUGCUGGUGAGAAUGGGUCAUCUCUUUGAGCAUGUACUUGUUGUCAUUGGCAUUAAUCCGAUCCUUCUAGCGGGUCAAACCGUUAGAUAUUCGGAGCUGUUACUUUGAGAAAAUUAGAGUGUUUCAAGCAGGCGUAAUGCCU
rnacentral:rRNA from 1 species